rnacentral:rRNA from 1 species
GACGAACGCUGGCGGCGUGCUUAACACAUGCAAGUCGAACGAAGAGCGAUGGAAGCUUGCUUCUAUCAAUCUUAGUGGCGAACGGGUGAGUAACGCGUAAUCAACCUGCCCUUCAGAGGGGGACAACAGUUGGAAACGACUGCUAAUACCGCAUACGAUCUAAUCUCGGCAUCGAGGAUAGAUGAAAGGUGGCCUCUACAUGUAAGCUAUCACUGAAGGAGGGGAUUGCGUCUGAUUAGCUAGUUGGAGGGGUAACGGCCCACCAAGGCGAUGAUCAGUAGCCGGUCUGAGAGGAUGGACGGCCACAUUGGGACUGAGACACGGCCCAGACUCCUACGGGAGGCAGCAGUGGGGAAUCUUCCGCAAAGGACGAAAGUCUGACGGAGCAACGCCGCGUGAGCGAUGACGGCCUUCGGGUUGUAAAGCUCUGUUAAUCGGGACGAAAGGCCUUCUUGCGAAUAGUGAGAAGGAUUGACGGUACCGGAAUAGAAAGCCACGGCUAACUACGUG